rnacentral:rRNA from 1 species
CUGGCUCAGGAUGAACGCUGGCGGCGCGCCUAACACAUGCAAGUCGAACGGUUAAAGCACCUUCGGGUGUGUAUAAAGUGGCGAACGGCUGAGUAACACGUGGGCAACCUGCCCCUCGCACCGGGACAGCCUCGGGAAACCGUGGUUAAUACCGGAUACGCCCCCUUGAGGACAUCCUCUCGGGGGGAAAGCCCCGACGGCGAGGGAUGGGCCCGCGGCCUGUUAGCUAGUUGGUGAGGUAACGGCCCACCAAGGCAAUUAUGGGUAGCUGGGUUGAGAGACCGACCAGCCAGAUUGGGACUGAGACACGGCCCAGACUCCUACGGGAGGCAGCAGUGGGGAAUCUUGCACAAUGGGCGAAAGCCUGAUGCAGCGACGCCGCGUGCGGGACGAAGGCCUUCGGGUUGUAAACCGCUUUCAGCAGGGACGAGGCCGCGAGGUGACGGUACCUGCAGAAGAAGCCCCGGCUAACUACGUGCCAGCCGCCGC